GUGCCAGCCGCCGCGGUAAUAUCGGCAGCCCGAGUGAUGGCCACUCUUAUUGGGCCUAAAGCGUCCGUAGCCGGCCUCGCAAGUCCGUCGGGAAAUCCAGUAGCUCAACUACUGGGCGUCCGGCGGAAACUACAAGGCUUGGGACCGGAAGGCUCGAGGGGUACGUCCGGAGUAGGAGUGAAAUCCCAUAAUCCCGAACGGACCACCGAUGGCGAAAGCACUUCGAGAAAACGGAUCCGACAGUGAGGGACGAAAGCCAGGGUCUCCAACCGGAUUAGAAACCCCUGUAGUCC
rnacentral:rRNA from 1 species